AAAAUGUAAUUGAUUUGAAUUGAGCCGUAGCACAGCGAGUUAUAUGAUAUGAACGGGUGCUCCCUGUUCAGGAAACUCGCUUUGUUUUAACUAACG